AUUGAACGCUGGCGGCAUGCCUUACACAUGCAAGUCGAACGGUAACGGGCCUUCGGGUGCCGACGAGUGGCGAACGGGUGAGUAAUGCAUCGGAACGUACCUUUCAGUGGGGGAUAACGUAGCGAAAGUUACGCUAAUACCGCAUAUUCUGUGAGCAGGAAAGCAGGGAUCGCAAGACCUUGCGCUGAUUGAGCGGCCGAUGUCAGAUUAGCUAGUUGGUGAGGUAAAGGCUCACCAAGGCGACGAUCUGUAGCGGGUCUGAGAGGAUGAUCCGCCACACUGGAACUGAGACACGGUCCAGACUCCUACGGGAGGCAGCAGUGGGGAAUUUUGGACAAUGGGGGCAACCCUGAUCCAGCCAUGCCGCGUGAGUGAGGAA
rnacentral:rRNA from 1 species